rnacentral:rRNA from 1 species
AUUGAACGCUGGCGGCAUGCCUUACACAUGCAAGUCGAACGGCAGCACGGGAGCAAUCCUGGUGGCGAGUGGCGAACGGGUGAGUAAUGUAUCGGAACGUGCCCAGUAGUGGGGGAUAGCCCGGCGAAAGCCGGAUUAAUACCGCAUACGACCUACGGGUGAAAGCGGGGGAUCGCAAGACCUCGCGCUAUUGGAGCGGCCGAUAUCAGAUUAGCUAGUUGGUGGGGUAAAGGCCUACCAAGGCGACGAUCUGUAGCUGGUCUGAGAGGACGACCAGCCACACUGGGACUGAGACACGGCCCAGACUCCUACGGGAGGCAGCAGUGGGGAAUUUUGGACAAUGGGCGCAAGCCUGAUCCAGCCAUGCCGCGUGCGGGAAGAAGGCCUUCGGGUUGUAAACCGCUUUUGUCAGGGAAGAAACGCGCUAAGUUAAUACCUCGGCGUAAUGACGGUACCUGAAGAAUAAGCACCGGCUAACUACGUGCCAGCCGCCGCCGUAAAAC